UGGAGGAAGGUGCCUUGAGGGAGGAAAAGAAGAAUGUGAUGCCACGUGCUCACAGAUGGUGCAGUGGCGAGUACCUGAAAAGGUGAUCUAUGGUGAUUGUGCCAUCAUGCCCACAGAACAAGUAAAUAUAUGCUGCUUGAGAUUCCUGUGAUUGUUAAAAGGAUUAUCCAGGCACCAGUCACUCCCACCUGUAUGACCCAUCACCCUGACUUUGAACCUGUUUGCCUGAAUGUGUUUUCACUGCAGAAUGCACUUCAUGUUUACAGAGCUGACUAUGGCACUUUGAGGCUCAGAGGAAUAGAACAGUAAGAUUUAUAUUACAUCACUAUUGUACAUGUGAUUCCAUUUAUAAUGUAAGACAAAUGAUUUUGUAUCUGUAUAUGACUUAUAUAAUCAGAUUUGUU